CAGUAGCCGCGGGAAUACGGAGGGGGCUAGCGUUGUUCGGAAUUACUGGGCGUAAAGCGCACGUAGGCGGCUUAGUAAGUUAGAGGUGAAAGCCUGGAGCUCAACUCCAGAAUUGCCUUUAAGACUGCCGAGCUAGCAGGUGAGAGAGGUAAGUGGAAUUCCGAGUGUAGAGGUGAAAUUCGUAGAUAUUCGGAAGAACACCAGUGGCGAAGGCGGCUUACUGGCUCAUACUGGACGCUGAGGUGCGAAAGCGUGGGGAGCAAACAGGAUUAGAUACCCGCAGUAGUCCCUGUCUCUUAUA
rnacentral:rRNA from 1 species